CAUAUAUUUGAUUUGAUGCGUUUGUAAUAUUCUUUAUUUAUAUAAUUUUCUUUUUAUUCUUGUACUAGAGCCUAUUAAAAAGGAUUAGAACAUUGUAAUACAUGAAUUAGAAAUGAAUUAAUGAGUCAUGUUCUUUUUUCACCUUAUGUGUGAGUAGUGAGACGCCACAAUUAUAUUUCUAAUGGUAUGAUUGAGGUGUGAAACUUUUAUUCUAGGAGUUCACUUCUUGAGCCAAAGUGAGUCGGAUAAUUAUCCUGUAAUAUUUCUCAAUUAUCUUUUAGUUACUAUCUUUUAUUUCUCUCUUUUUGGUUCGCCUAUCAUCAAAAGAAAUCCGUUGCUACUAGUCCUACAUCCGAUUGGUAUCAAAGCUUUUAGUUUAACCUAGAUGUUCUAUCUUCAAGGCUGAUCUAUAUCUCAAUUAUAUGAACCUAGAAUGAGUUCCUACGCAGUAGAAGCAAACAAUGUGGAACCAAUGAGUUUAUCUUUCAUUUAAAUAAAUUUAAUUAGUUUAGUGAUAUUUCUCAUAUGUAAUAAAUUGUCAUAUAUCGACAUCUACUUAACAAGAAGAAAAGGGAAGCAAAUGCACACAAAAAAAAAGGGGGCAGAAAUCAGAUUAUUUUUUUCAUUGAAGAUUAUGAAUCUAGAUUGAAGAUUAUGAAUCUAGAUUGAAGAUUCAUAUCAAUCAAGACAAAGCUAAGAAAAUCUAUCAAUCAAUUAUAUCAUCAAGAAAGAAAAAAUAUUUCUCAAAUAAAAUCAGAAAUAUUACCUUCUUCAAAGGAAAGAUGGCAUCAUAUAUUUGAUUUGAUGUGAUUGUAAUAUUUUUUAUUUCUAUAAUUUCCUUUUUAUUAUUGUACUUAGAGCAUAGAAAAAGAGACUAUAGUAUUGUGAUGCAUAAAUUAAAGAUGAAUCAAUGAAUCUUGUUCUUUUCCCACCUUAUGUAAUGAGUGAUAUAAGGCCACAAUUAUGUUUCCAAUGGUAUGA
rnacentral:lncRNA from 1 species